rnacentral:lncRNA from 1 species
GAAAUUACAGUGAAGCUAAUUGAAGUUUAAUAGAGUAGGUCGAGGCUACAAAUCCCUUCUACCUGAAUUCUUAUUUCCUCGAAGUUUUAGUAGAGAAGAUCGAGGCUACAAAUCUCUUCUCCUUAAAUCUCCGAAGUUGCAGUGGAGUGAAUCAAAGCAACAAUUCCUAUGCCCCUGAAGAUGCAAUGGGAUGAAACGAGGCUACUAGAAGAAAAGAAGUACCAAGAAGUUAAGAUUCAGUAAGACUAAGCAAAAUUGGCCAUUUUGGAGUCUUUGCUCCAUUCUCGUUACACGACAAUGAGCAAAGAGGGGCAGCUGUAAUGGCCAAUUUUUUGGCCCAAGCAAAAAUAAAAUCCACAUAACCAAAAUUCAAGUCCAUUUACAAUGUUAAACAGCCCAAAAAUCAAAACAGGUCCAAUUUCCACAUUGAAAGGCCCAAACCCAAAACUAAAUAACCCAAAUAAUACAAAAACCCUAAAGCCCACCUAGCCCAACACACAAAACAUUUCAGCAACCCUAGGUCCCCCCUUCUGUUUGUUUUGCACCGCAACCAUGAAGCAGCCCCAUACCUCCACUACAGCGGCCCCAUACCCCCACUACAGCAGUCCCAUACCUCCACAGCCCUCGUACGCCACGCCCACACCCC